rnacentral:rRNA from 1 species
UACGAAGGGGGCUAGCGUUGCUCGGAAUCACUGGGCAUAAAGGGUGCGUAGGCGGGUUUUUAAGUCAGGGGUGAAAUCCUGGAGCUCAACUCCAGAACUGCCUUUGAUACUGAAGAUCUUGAGUCCGGGAGAGGUGAGUGGAACUGCGAGUGUAGAGGUGAAAUUCGUAGAUAUUCGCAAGAACACCAGUGGCGAAGGCGGCUCACUGGCCCGGUACUGACGCUGAGGCACGAAAGCGUGGGGAGCAAACAGG